GAUUUUGUGGUAUAGUUGGUUAUCACUUCAGUCAGUCUACAUAGCAUAGGCACUGAACGUCUCCAGUUCGAGCCUGGACGAAAUCA